UGCCAGCAAUUUUCGCCGCGUCGCCCCUUGUCGCCCCUAUAACUUAUCAGCAUACUCUCUUCCCCCGCCUUCCGCUCUUUUCUCUGCGUUCUUCGGGAUCGAGCCAACAACAAGGUUUAAAACGAAAGGGACCGCCAUGCGCGACAAGCAAGUCGCCGCGGGCGAGUAUCUGCUCGGCGGGAUA
rnacentral:misc_RNA from 1 species